rnacentral:rRNA from 1 species
AGUGAAAGGCUAAUCAAGCCGGGAGAUAGCUGGUUCUCCCCGAAAGCUAUUUAGGUAGCGCCUCGGACGAAUACCAUUGGGGGUAGAGCACUGUUUCGGCUAGGGGGUCAUCCCGACUUACCAACCCUUUGCAAACUCCGAAUACCAAUGAGUGAUAUGCGGGAGACACACUGCGGGUGCUAACGUCCGUUGUGAAGAGGGAAACAACCCAGACCGCCAGCUAAGGUCCCAAAGUCAUGGUUAAGUGGGAAACGAUGUGGGAAGGCAUAGACAGCUAGGAGGUUGGCUUAGAAGCAGCCAUCCUUUAAAGAAAGCGUAACAGCUCACUGGUCUAAAUAAGGGGUCCUGCGCCGAAAAUGUAACGGGGCUCAAGCCACGAGCCGAAGCUUAGGGUGU